rnacentral:rRNA from 1 species
AUUGAACGCUGGCGGCAGGCCUAACACAUGCAAGUCGAGCGGAUGAAGGGAGCUUGCUCCUGGAUUCAGCGGCGGACGGGUGAGUAAUGCCUAGGAAUCUGCCCGGUAGUGGGGGAUAACGUCCGGAAACGGGCGCUAAUACCGCAUACGUCCUGAGGGAGAAAGUGGGGGAUCUUCGGACCUCACGCUAUCAGAUGAGCCUAGGUGGGAUUAGCUAGUUGGUGGGGUAAAGGCCUACCAAGGCGACGAUCCGUAACUGGUCUGAGAGGAUGAUCAGUCACACUGGAACUGAGACACGGUCCAGACUCCUACGGGAGGCAGCAGUGGGGAAUAUUGGACAAUGGGCGAAAGCCUGAUCCAGCCAUGCCGCGUGUGUGAAGAAGGUCUUCGGAUUGUAAAGCACUUUAAGUUGGGAGGAAGGGCAGUAAGUUAAUACCUUGCUGUUUUGACGUUACCAACAGAAUAAGCACCGGCUAACUUCGUG